GGGAAUGUGGCUUAGUGGUAGAGUGCUUGCCUAGCAUGCAUGAAGCCCUGGGUUCCAUUCCUCAGUCCCA
rnacentral:tRNA from 1 species